rnacentral:rRNA from 1 species
GACGAACGCUGGCGGCGUGCUUAACACAUGCAAGUCGAACGGAAAGGCCCUGCUUUUGUGGGGUGCUCGAGUGGCGAACGGGUGAGUAACACGUGAGUAACCUGCCCUUGACUUUGGGAUAACUUCAGGAAACUGGGGCUAAUACCGGAUAGGAGCUCCUGCUGCAUGGUGGGGGUUGGAAAGUUUCGGCGGUUGGGGAUGGACUCGCGGCUUAUCAGCUUGUUGGUGGGGUAGUGGCUUACCAAGGCUUUGACGGGUAGCCGGCCUGAGAGGGUGACCGGACACAUUGGGACUGAGCUGCGGCACAGACUCCUACGGGAGGCAGCAGUGGGGAAUAUUGCACAAUGGGCGGAAGCCUGAUGCAGCAACGCCGCGUGCGGGAUGACGGCCUUCGGGUUGUAAACCGCUUUCGCCUGUGACGAAGCGUGAGUGACGGUAAUGGGUAAAGAAGCACCGGCUAACUACGUG